UCCAAGAGCUCAGAGAAGGCCAUGGAGAAGUGCUGGUGGACAAGAAAAUCACUGCUAUUGCAUGAGGAAUCUACUGCAUGAAAAAAAAGAUAUUUUUCUCAUCUGGGAAAGUAAAAUCUGCAUCUCAAGAGUAAAACAGUUUCUCACCAAUGUAGAAGAGUUCUUGGGGUUUGAUUUUUCAAUUGUCUACUUUGACUUUCAAGUUCUGCCUUGUGCCUAAGCUGGAGAUGUGUGGGCAUCCUGAUGACUGCAACAGAUUUUCAAGACUUGCCUGAAGCAUACACAGAGCUGAACUGACACAGAGUUUACUCAACACUGAGCUGGAACCAAAGUCACAGAGGUUGCAUUCUAAGAGCUGUGCAGAGAAUUUGGGCAGAGAACUGUGCUUCCACACCCACCUGGAUCAUUCCAGUAACAGGUAAGAUGUUUGUUUCUUGGAUUUCAGCACCAAACAGUUACAUCUUUGAUUAUAGCUUGUAGAUUUGUGACCCUUUUGAGCUCCUGAAGAUCUAUGUGUGUUGCCUGGUGCCUUGAUUACAAGUGCCAGUCACAUUUGAAGCAGAAAGAAAUGUAUUAUCCAAAAAGUGAUAAUACUGCACCUGCCUGGCCCCACUGCAUGUGCUCACACUCAGAAAGCUCUGCAAGAUCUUUUGAGUUAGAGAGGCACUGGGGGUUGGUCUGCAAGGGAAACUACAUGGAGGGGAAAACAAAGCUGGUAUGGGGGGGACAGAAAGAGGAGCCCUUCUGUGCCUCUGUUUGAACUCUGAGGGUGCCAAUCCUGUCCUAAGGGUUCAAAGGGAUAACAGAAAGAAGGAUUUUCAUGUGCACAGUACCUGUGCUAGUCCCAGUUUAAACUUAAAGGACAGGUGAGAAGAGAGGGAAGGAGCUGAAUGCUGCCUUAUACACUGGAGAAAUUGUUCCUUGAUGUGCAAUGCUGAGCUCUGUCAUGCUGCCAGAGUGACUGGGCCCCAGGCUGAGGCUGCCUAAGUGCUGGUUGCAGGAGUUAAAGCUGCCAGGGGAGUGCUAUAAAAGGACAAUGUCAAGGUUGGUCUACCCAAAAUAUCACCCUUUUUUAUUUUUUUUCUCUCCCUUACAUCUAUUUGCAAAGUUUAUGUCAUUCACUUUUAAGCUUUUACAAAUCCUUUAAUCUAAACCACAAUGUUUCAAUUGCUAUUGAGGGCAGUGAUUGAGAGGAGAGGCUGUGAGUGUUCAGUGUGGCAAUGCAGGUUUGUGAAUGAGGAAAGAGCCUGAAACAAAACUCUGGGAUGGGGACUGUCUGAAUUAGGUGAUAAUUAGAAAAUGAGAAUUCAGGCUGAAAUGUAGAAGAAAUAAAUGAAAAUAAGGAAAGCUAGUUUUUAUUAAUUGAAAAUACCAAUGCAGAACCAGCUAAGUUCACAAGAAGUUACUUCAAAACCUCUGUUUAUUUUCAUUCUAAUAGUUUUUAUUCUGGCUGUUUUUCUCCUGCUACUGCUUUCUCAGUAAUAGUAGAUAGUUGCACAUAAUUCCUGCCAUAACUGAAAUACACCCUUCCUUCUUUUCCUCGUUUGACAGCCUAAUUAAAACCACAGUAUAUAUUUUUUUCUAUAUUAUAUAAUAUCCUAAGACCCUCAUAACUCUCACAAAUAAUUUCUAUUCUAAUUGGAAAACAGAUGAACUAUCUGUGCAAGUCAUAAAAGAAAAAGGAGUAAGAUCAAGUAGUAAAAUCAAAGGUAAGAUUUUUUUUUUUCUUUACAUAACUGUGAUGCUUCCCAGAAAAGGCAGGAGGGAAUAAUCCCACACAACCCACUCCCCCUGAAAGAAGUCAAAGCCUCUUGGAGGAGUGCAGCUCAUCCCUGGUUUCAGCUCCAGGAAUCUCUGGCACUGAGAUGAAAUGAUCUUGCAAUCUGCUCUGUGAUAGCAGGAAGGCAGCCAGGUCUGACAGAUCCUUCACUUCCAGCUUGACUUUGCCAAACUUCCAGGAGUUCACUCCUGCUUCAAAAAGUCUUCCUAUGAACUGCAAGGCUCACUUCUGAUUUCCUUCUCAGCUCUGAAAAAACUAUGCAGCUUUUCUCAGAAACCCUGUGAGAAGAACACAAACUCACAGCCAGUCAGGCCUGACAGUCCCCUGCAGUGAGAGCUCAGCACACAUCCACAGAGACAAGUCCAGCACCUGAAAGAAAAAAAAAAAAAGAACCAGAAGAAAGAGAGCUGCUGCUUGAACUCCAGCUGUGCCAGGAACCAGCAGAGCUUCCAAGGAACCUCAGCAGCACUGGGACAGGGACAGCAAAGGGUGCACAUCAUCCCUGCCUUCAGCACAGCUCCAGUGGGACCCACCUGGGAAAGCUUUCCAUCCCUUCUGCACUUCCAGCUGGCUCCCUGGAAACUCCCACCUUCAUCCAAACAAGACUUCAUCCCAGCCAAACCUCUGAUUUUAAGGCAUCUCUGCAGGCUGUUGGUUGGAUUCAGUAUCUGUGAGCUGGGACACACAGGAACACCCAGGAGCAUUGCUGGCAGCGAGCAGGAGCCACCGAGGCCUCUGUGCAGCUCUGGGCCUCAAAAGCAGCCCCAGCUUCAGCAGCUGCUUCGUUUUGGCAAC